rnacentral:rRNA from 1 species
GAUAAACGCUGGCGGCGCACAUAAGACAUGCAAGUCGAACGGACUUAAUCGAUUCUUUUAGAUUCGAAGCGGUUAGUGGCGGACUGGUGAGUAACACGUAAGCAACCUGCCUAUUAGAGGGGAAUAACAGUGAGAAAUCACUGCUAAAACCGCAUAUGCCGUGAACAUCGCAUGAUGAAAACGGGAAAAGAGCAAUCUGCUAAUAGAUGGGCUUGCGUCUGAUUAGCUAGUUGGUGUGGUAAAGGCAUACCAAGGCAACGAUCAGUAGCCGGACUGAGAGGUUGAACGGCCACAUUGGGACUGAGAUACGGCCCAGACUCCUACGGGAGGCAGCAGUCGGGAAUAUUGCGCAAUGGAGGAAACUCUGACGCAGUGACGCCGCGUAUGGGAAGAAGGUUUUCGGAUUGUAAACCAUUUUAGACAAGGAAGAAACAAGACAGUACUUGUAGAAUAAGCUCCGGCUAACUACGUGCCAGCAGCCGCGGUAAUACGUAGGGAGCAAGCGUUAUCCGGAUUUAUUGGGUGUAAAGGGUGCGUAGACGGGAAGGUAAGUUAGUUGUGAAAUCCCUCGGCUCAACUGAGGAACUGCGACUAAAACUGCUUUUCUUGAGUGCUGGAGAGGAAAGUGGAAUUCCUAGUGUAGCGGUGAAAUGCGUAGAUAUUAGGAGGAACACCAGUGGCGAAGGCGACUUUCUGGACAGUAACUGACGUUGAGGCACGAAAGUGUGGGGAGCAAACAGGAUUAGAUACCCUGGUAGUCCACGCGGUAAACGAUGAAUACUAGGUGUUGGGGAGCAAAGCUCUUCGGUGCCGGCGCAAACGCAUUAAGUAUUCCACCUGGGGAGUACGUUCGCAAGAAUGAAACUCAAAGGAAUUGACGGGGACCCGCACAAGCGGUGGAGCAUGUGGUUUAAUUCGAAGCAACGCGAAGAACCUUACCAAGUCUUGACAUCGAUCUGGCGAGAGGGUAAUGCCUCUUUUCCUUCGGGACAGAGAAGACAGGUGGUGCAUGGUUGUCGUCAGCUCGUGUCGUGAGAUGUUGGGUUAAGUCCCGCAACGAGCGCAACCCUUAUCCCCAGUAGCCAGCGGAUAGAGCCGGGCACUCUGAGGAGACUGCCAGGGACAACCUGGAGGAAGGUGGGGAUGACGUCAAAUCAUCAUGCCCCUUAUGACUUGGGCUACACACGUGCUACAAUGGCGUAAACAAAGGGAAGCAGCCCUGUGAAGGUGAGCGAAUCCCAAAAAUAACGUCCCAGUUCGGAUUGCAGUCUGCAACUCGACUGCAUGAAGCUGGAAUCGCUAGUAAUCGCGAAUCAGCAUGUCGCGGUGAAUACGUUCCCGGGUCUUGUACACACCGCCCGUCACACCAUGGGAGUCGAUAACGCCCGAAGUCAGUGACCUAACCGAAAGGGAGGAGCUGCCGAAGGCGGGAUUGGUAACUGGGGUGA